rnacentral:rRNA from 1 species
ACGGGUGAGUAAUAUAUCGGAACGUGCCCAAUCGUGGGGGAUAACGUAGAGAAAUUUACGCUAAUACCGCAUACGAUCUAAGGAUGAAAGCGGGGGAUCGCAAGACCUCGCGCGAUUGGAGCGGCUGAUAUCAGAUUAGGUUGUUGGUGAGGUAAAAGCUCACCAAGCCGACGAUCUGUAGCUGGUUUGAGAGAACGACCAGCCACACUGGGACUGAGACACGGCCCAGACUCCUACGGGAGGCAGCAGUGGGGAAUUUUGGACAAUGGGCGAAAGCCUGAUCCAGCAAUGCCGCGUGCAGGAAGAAGGCCUUCGGGUUGUAAACUGCUUUUGUACGGAACGAAACGGCUCUUUCUAAUAAAGAGGGCUAAUGACGGUACCGUAAGAAUAAGCACCGGCUAACUACGUGCCAGCAGCCGCGGUAAUACGUAGGGUGCGAGCGUUAAUCGGAAUUACUGGGCGUAAAGCGUGCGCAGGCGGUUAUAUAAGACAGUUGUGAAAUCCCCGGGCUCAACCUGGGAAUUGCAUCUGUGACUGUAUAGCUAGAGUACGGUAGAGGGGGAUGGAAUUCCGCGUGUAGCAGUGAAAUGCGUAG